UUCGUAAUGGAACUGAUUGAUAGUACCACGUAAAGUGGAAUUUCGCUGCAUUGUUCUAGCUUACAUGACGUACAAAUUUAGAAUUUGUAUUAUGAUUUGAGGAGUGUGGAAAGAAUGGUAUGAUAAUUGAUGCAAAGAGGCACGAAAUGCCGUUGAAAAAUUCAGUUCAACACCUGAAUACAUCGUGGAUGCUGAGUCAAUAUCUAGAAACAUGAAUUGAUACUUCAGUGUUCAAACCAUUUACUUAAUAUGUGAUAUUAAAAGAACAUCCAUAUUGUAAUAUUGUUAUUUUUUUGUUUUUAAUCAAAUUAACUCAUGUAAGCUUUCAUAAUCUCUCAUUUCAAGGAGGAGCCAGAGAAAGAAACAAAAAGUGCUUUAAGUGCAUUGUCUUGGGUGAUACCUACAGCAACCAG